rnacentral:lncRNA from 1 species
GGUGAUGCUCCACACCUCUCUGUUUCUCACAACUCACAUUCGUCAGCGAAGCCUGUUGGAUCUGCUUACAACUCUCUGGGGCGGCCAGCGGCUUCUGGCUCCUCGUGGCCACCCUGCCAGGCUGAGCCCCUGCUCUGUCUCCCUGGGAGUUCUGCAGUGGCUCUGUCACCCUUCUCAUACCUUCCUGAUGCUAUUCCUGCUCUCCUGUCAGCUGCUUGUCCUCCAAAGAAGCCAGAGCAGACAGAUCAUGAUUCUCUUCUUUCCUGCCAAUCUUCAAAUCUUUUCUCAAAUGCCACCUCUUCAAUAUGCCUGCCUUGACCACUCUGUGAGGUUGCAGCAUUCUCCCCCUCCCCUACCAUCUGCCCAACUCCAGGACCCUACUCAACGCCCAUUGCAGUUUCUUUUGCUCAUGGUUCGUCGUCUGUCUUCCCUCACCAGGUCGCAAACUCUACUUUGAGUCUCAAGAGCCUGGUGACACAUGGCAGGUGCUCUGGAGUGGACACAGCAUUGCCACUUUUGACAGCUGCCCCCUUUGUCACCCUCGGGUUGUGACCCGAAUGUCCCUUCCUCAAGGACUGUCCUGGGCAGAGCCGGGCCCCCCUCUGCCACCCUACUGCUCUAUCCCAGCACCAUCUUUCAGAGGUCAUCGUCAUCACUUGUGAAUGCACAUUUGCCUCAUGCUCACGUGUUUAUUGUCCGUCUCCGGCAUCCGCACCCCCAGCCACAGUGUUGACUUCAUUCUCUAGGGUCUUCCUAGUGCUUGCCAUAGACCCGCAGGGAAUAGAUGGGAAUUAAGUAAAUACUUGUUGACUAACUGGGAAGCACUUUAUAUAUACUCUUGUACUUGAUGAUCACAGCCCUCCUGUAAAAUGAGUAUUAUUUAAAUGCC